AUACUUAACCCCCAUGGGAAGGUACCAUGAACUUAAAGAUGGUUUUCCCAGAGUAGGACUUUCCUGUAGCUUUCUAUAUGAUUUCUCCAAAUGUGGGAAACUCAACUGUAUAAUUGUGGUAGUAAGGAACUCUUCCAUU
rnacentral:snRNA from 1 species